CACUGAAAUUUGUCCACCACACAACACCUCACCAUUUCUAUUUUAUAUAUAAUACACUCCACAUAACAGCGGAGGGGACCCAGAAUAUGCCAUAGCCGUGCAUCUGUCAAAUACACACAUAGAUAUAGGCGAUUUCACAGAAAAGGGGAGGCCAUUGUGGAGGACUUCAUUUUUUUUCUCCUUUUUCUGUUGCUGCACACACACAUAGAGUAGAGAUAGAACUGGUCGAAGAGAGGAAUAAACAGAGAGGAGAAGGAAAUAUUUGAGUGAGAGAGGAGAGAAAAGGGAUGGGGUUUGACAGUUUCGACGUUCUUGGCCGGAAAUAGCAUCCUUUCACUGGAAAACGUUUAAUUCCGGUCACCACUGGUUUGAAUUGGUCAUUUUUAGGAUGAUUCUAGUUAAUUAUCAUCCGGAAGUAGUCAUACCAACUUCUGGUUUUUCUCAUUCGGAGCCUUGAUUUAGAUGUUUUUUGUUUUUGUUUGUUCUUCGCGGAGCCUUGCUCGCAAUUGGGUCCGAGUCAAUUGCAGUUCGAGAUCGAAGUUGAUGAUUUGUGUUUGUGAUUGAGGUUCAACAUUGAGGUUAUGUUUGGAUGCGGUUCUAUUAGGAAAGAUCAAUUAAUUGAAAUAAAGCUUCAAAUUGAGAUAUUGAUGCAGAUUUGAUUGGUCUAAUUCCGGGAGAUACAGACAUGUUUGGUAGAGUGUUUAUCGAGCCUGAUGGAUCUUCGUGGUAUCCCGGGUCAAAAGAAUUUAAUGAGGCUAUAAGGUAGAGCGUAUGAGACUUUUUACAUAUCCUUGGCAUGAGUGGUGGGAUAUUUCAAUAGUCUCUAAACAAGCCAUGUUUCAAGAGUUAAGACAAUGUGUUGUUGGUUGACAAAGCACGAUCUGGCCAUUUCUACAAUUUUUUAGAGACAUGCUAAUAUAUCACAUCAGAUUGCACAUCUUAGACGAGCCUUAACACAGGUCGUUGCUCCAGAUUCAAGUAGGAAAGAGGAAACAGAUAGUGAUGAGGAGUUUGUUGGGGCUACUCGUUAGUGUUGUUGGACUUGACUUUUAGAUAAUUUUUAGAUAUUUUGAACUUAGCUUUUAGUUAGUGAAAAAUCUUUAGGAUUGUUUUAAGUAUUUUGAAUGUUGUUGGGUUCAUUGUUUAAGUGUUGUUGAUGUGAAUUGCUUAAAUGAUUUGUUGAUGUAGUGUGUUGUAUGAUUAUUG